GGAUGCUCCGGCCGGGAGCCGCAGGAUGGGGCUGCGUCCUAUCAGGUAGUUGGUGGGGUAACGGCCCACCAAGCCUGUGACGGGUAGGGGCCCUGAGAGGGGGAGCCCCCAGAUGGACUCUGAGACAAGAGUCCAGGCCCUACGGGGCGCAGCAGGCGCGAAAACUCCGCAAUGGGCGAAAGCCCGACGGGGUUACCCCGAGUGCCACCCUCGUGGUGGCUUUUGCCCGCUCUAAAAAGGCGGGCGAAUAAGGGGAGGGCAAGUCGGGUGUCAGCCGCCGCGGUAAUACCCGCUCCCCGAGUGGUGGAGGCUAUUACUGGGCCUAAAGCGCCCGCAGCCGGCCCGGUGUGUCCCUCGUUAAAUCCACGGGCUUAACCCGUGGGCUGCGGGGGAUACUACCGGGCUUGGGGGUGGGAGAGGCGCCCGGUAUUCCCGGGGUAGGGGUAAAAUCCUCUGAUCCCGGGAGGACCAUCAGUGGCGAAGGCGGGGCGCCAGAACACGCCCGACGGUGAGGGGCGAAAGCUGGGGGAGCAAACGGGAUUAGA
rnacentral:rRNA from 1 species